UACGGAAGGCAGCAGUGGGGAAUAUUGCACAAUGGGCGAAAGCCUGAUGCAGCUAUGCCGCGUGUAUGAAGAAGGCCUUAGGGUUGUAAAGUACUUUCAUCGGGGAGGAAAAACAAAACUAAUAAUUUUAUUUCUUGACGUUACCCGAAAAAGAAGCACCGGCUAACUCCGUGCCAGCAGCCGCGGUAAUACGGAGGGUGCUAGCGUUAAUCAGAAUUACUGGGCGUAAAGAGCACGUAGGUGGUUUUUUUAAAGUCAGAUGUGAAAUCCCUGGGCUUAACCUGGAACUGCAUUUUGAAACUGAAAUACUAGAGUAUCGUAGAGGGAGGUAGAAUUCUAGGUGUAGCGGUGAAAUGCGUAGAUAUCUGGAGGAAUACCUGUGGCGAAAGCGGCCUCCUAAACGAAUACUGACACUGAGGUGCGAAAGCGUGGGGAGCAAACAGGGAUUAGGAUACC
rnacentral:rRNA from 1 species